CUACGGGUGGCACCAGUGGGGGAUAUUGCGCAAUGGGGGAAACCCUGACGCAGCAACGCCGCGUGAAGGAAGAAGGUUUUCGGAUCGUAAACUUCUUUAAGUGGGGAAGAUAGUGACGGUACCCACAGAAUAAGCCACGGCUAACUACGUGCCAGCAGCCGCGGUAAUACGUAGGUGGCAAGCGUUGUCCGGAUUUACUGGGUGUAAAGGGCGUGUAGGCGGGUAAGCAAGUCAGAUGUGAAAUACCGGAGCUUAACUCCGGAGCUGCAUUUGAAACUGCAUAUCUUGAGUGUCGGAGAGGAAAGCGGAAUUCCUAGUGUAGCGGUGACAUGCGUAGAUAUUAGGAGGAACACCGGUGGCGAAGGCGGCUUUCUGGACGAUAACUGACGCUGAGGCGCGAAAGCGUGGGGAGCAAACAGGAUUAGAUACCCUAGUAGUC
rnacentral:rRNA from 1 species